CGAAAAGUGCCCUCCCCUCCAUUACCCCUCACCACCUGUGGUAAAUGGGAGAGCUGACCCAGCCCCUCAUCUGGGCAACAUCAGAGCUGACCCUGAUGGCGUUGGUGAGGGCGAGCCAGCCCCGAGGGCAUGAGUGUGGGAGAGCUAGCCCACACCCAUAUGUCAUAUGGUGGCAUGGGUGGAGGAGAGGUGCCUUCCCCAAUUUGUUCCUCCCUGCCUGCAGCAGUUGGGAGAGCAGGGUUAGGGAUGAGGGUGGGCUGGCCCUGAGGGUAUGAGGGUGGAAGAGCUAGCCUUUCCCCUCUCCUGCUCCAGCACUCAGGAGAGCAGGUCCUGCAGCUCACCUGGGCAGCAUAGUAGAGCUGACUUCACUAAAAGGGGCUCAGGUCGAGAACAUGAGUGUGAGAGAUCUGGUCCCGCCCCUCAUCUGCCAUAUGGUAGCAUGGGCAAGAGAUAGAAGUUUCCCACGCCCUUUAUGACCCGUGGCAGGUGGGAGAGCUGUCCCUGAGGUCACAAGAGUGAGAAACAAGAGUGGGGACACAAGAGUGUCCCUCUCACUAGCUGCGGCACUCUGUAGAGUGGCCUCUACACUCACCAGCUGGAUCUAGUGGCGUAGGUGCGGGCAAGGCAGCCCAAGGACAUGGGAGCUGGAGAACUGGUCCCAUCCUUUGCUGCUUACUACAUAGGGUGAGGUGGCUGGGGUGGUGCUGGAGAGCUCACCCUGGUGGUGAGGAUGAGGGAGAGCUGGUGAGCUGACUAAUCUAGCAACCACCAAGACGCGGAACCCAGGUUGGCCCAUCCCAUCAUCCAUCCCAUCUGUGAUCUGCUGGAGCACAUGAAGAGGCCGGCCCUGCAGAUCCGAAGUUGCAAGAUCUCCAUGACACAGGACAACAACAGGAUAUCCAAGAGGAUCCACAAUUCUCCACUGGUAGCAGACAUUGUUCACUCUCCACUCCAAGAAGUUGGGGCACGUGGUAUUUGUGCACCAGGCAGACUUGCUUGCCUGUUAAAGCACAUGUGGACUUGAAGUUUAAUAUACCCAAGAAAGAAAAGGGGGUACAGUGUCUGUGCCUACCACAAAAUAGUAUCAGAAUACAAAAGAUUAUCCUCUUGCUUACAGAACAAAAAACAAAGAAAUCAGAGAAGAUUUAUGAAGAGUGGCCCAAAUUGAAACCUCUUUGGAAACAUCUUUCCUGUGUUUUAUUUUAAAUGGAGUGCAUGGAUGGGUAUUUCCCAACAGACUAUGGGAUGCUAGAGGGCAAAGCAUCAGUCUUAUUUAUUUUAGAUACUGCAUACCUACUUUUGGGAGUAUGUCAGUGAAGCAUUCUUAACAGGCUUAAGGAAAUUUGUGGAAGAGGGACCAGAAAGGUAAUAGCCAGAAGAUCAGGAUGUAUGCUGUGAGACAGUGUCUUCUGAGAAUCUGCACCAUGAACUCUCAACAGUAUGAUUGUCUGAACAAUACCUGCAUGACAAUACCACCAGUUGUCACACCAACAAGAAUGGGGGAAGUUUCACAAGACCCUACCCUUAGAUGAAGAACUACAGAUGAUCAGUGCCUGCCGAGAUUGGAACACUCUUGAAGGUAUGAGGCACAUUGAGCUUCCAUCUUUGGAACAGAACAGAAUGUCUGACACAAGAUGAGUAAUUCCCUAGUUAAGGGCAGAACAAUGAAUCAUGUCCUGGCUAUUGGCAGACCUUAGAGUAUUAUUUUCCCUGGCCACACUAUGUUGUCUACCUUUUAAAUUGGAUUACAGUAAUGCAAUAUACAUACCUUUCAAUGGAAUGUUGUAAGAAAAAAGUACCAAGUACUUGAAAAUAUUAAAUCAGAAAGCACUAUUCUGCAUCCUUUAAAGAUAAUAAUAAUAUAAUAACCUCAUAUUUAUUACAUGUCUACUAUGAGCCCACCUCUUGUUAAAUGCUUUCUUUGAAUACACUAAAUUUCUAUACAUCCACGAUUGCUGUGGAUCUUGUGUUGCCUUCCUUUUCAAACAAAAGCUAAAACACUACUCAAUUUCCAUCAAUAGAUGAAUGAAUGAAAAUAUGUGGUCUAUGUAUACAAUGGAAAUGUAUUUUGCCAUGAAGUAAAGCCUAUAAACACUGGUAGAAAUCACUAGGUUAAGCAAAAUAACACAGAUUCAGAAAGGCAAACACCAUGUAUUUCUCAUAUGCAGAAUUUUUUAAUUUGUGUGUAUGGAUGUGUGUGUCCAUCUCUUUGACUGUUUGUCUGUCCAUGUCUGUAUUAGUCAUGAAAACUGAAAGGGGAUGAUAAGAGAGUCCGUAAGUGUCCUUAAGAGGUAGGGGAGAAAAUAGAAAGUAAUGGAAGAAAACUAUUAUGAAAACAGAGAGGAGAAUAAUUUGAGGGAAGGAAACUAGUAAGGGGAGCAAGGGAACAUGAGGGAAUGUAGUGGGGGAAUGAGGUGGAUAAGAACAAAGUACUUUCAAUGAAACUCAUUACUUUGCUAACUAAAAAGUAAAGUGGUGAUUAAAACUAAAACAAACCAAAGAUAUAUGCUGAUUUGCUUCUAUCACUGUGAUAACUUACCUGUGCAAAUUGACUUAAAGGAAAAAGGAUUAGUUUGGGCUCAUGGUUUAGUCUAGGGUUUGUUGGACCUAUCUUUAUGGGCAUGUGUUGAUAUAAAAUCAUGAUAAAGAUUGCAGCAAGGUAGAGAAGUUCUUCUCACCUCAUGACAGUCAAGAGCAAGAGAGAGAGAAAGAGAGAGGGAGAGGGCACAUUGUUAAGAAACCCUUGAAACACACCCACAAUGACACACUUUCUCCACCUAGGUUCUAUCUUCUAAAAGCCCAUUUAACCAAUCAAUGGAUUAAUCCAUUGAUGAAGUUGGUGCUCUCAUUAUCCAGUCACCUCUCAAAUAGCAACAUCGAUCCUUUGACAUAUGAAUGUUUUGAAGGGACAUUUCAUUUUUAAACCACAACAUGGCUCAUUCUCAAAUAUUAAUGCCAUCGAUCAGACUGACUGCUAUUACUUUAGUCAGUUUCUCCAGACUCCUUUUUCAUGAACCUAUUUCUUUUUUUCCAGAAUCCUCAUGAGCAUCUGAGAGUGCCUUGCUUAUUUAUUUUUUUAAAUAUUUUUUCUGUUGGUAGGCAUAGUAGACAAAACCUUAGUAUUAAUAGAACUAUGCAAGUACUUAGAUUAUUUUUGAUGGGUUAAAGAAUGAAGAACAUGCUCAUGAUCCUUGACAGACUCUGACCAGUGGAGAAAAUGCUGUGGUAGCCAUUGCUCUUAGAAGAAAGGUAGAAGAAUGAUUGAUCUGUUCCUUGUGUCUCUAAGUUAUGAAUCACAAGAUAUCCAAACAAUGAUUUGUACACUAUUUUAAAAGUAGAAACCAUGUUCAAGAGACAUAAAUUGCUGAAGGGUUUGCCACAGUGAUCCCAUCCAUGCUUCAAGUCUGCAUUAGUGACAAAAGAGCUUCCCAUUAAUUCCUUUGGGUAAUUCAGAAAGUAAAUCCUGUAGGGUACGGUUCAUGAUACUCAAAACAUAGAAUCGAUUCUAUACUAGAAUUAACAACAGGAUGAGGCUCUGACAGAUGUAGUAGAAAUCCUGCUGAGUCCAGAGUUGAAAGAAGAUACAGGAAACAGGGCAUGGAGCCUGUGAAAACAGCUCAGCAGAAAUGGGUAAAUGUCAGUUCCCAAGCUUUCCUGCUGACCUCGCCUCUGGGAAAUCACACUACGUAGUAUACUAGGAUAUGAAUAUCUGGUGUCAGUUUGGCAUGGCAAAACCUUCUUUCCAAUUAGGUUUAAUGGUAAAAUUAUGUCAAGGUAAUUAUUUAAAGUUACAAUACAAGAAAGAACUGCAGACUUGUCCAUUGAUCAUGGACCUUCAUCACUAAAGAAGUCAUUGCAAUAUCCUGGGCAUUGUAAAGGAAGCAUUGAGAAGUAUAGCUAAGAAUGAGAUAAAAGCACCUAGAGUAUUUUCAGCAUCCAAUAGCCUUUUAUUUUUCUUUCAACUCAGAUAAAGUCAGCAGAGUAUAGCAAAGAUGAGAAUUCAACAAAAUGCAUACAUCAUAGUUCAUUCACAAAAUAAGGACUAUUUCUUCUAAAAUUGAUGUUGGUUUGGAUUUGAGUUUUGGGGGGAUAGUUUCCAAAUAAGGAAAAUGUGUUUGAUUAAACUCCAAAUCAACACUUUAUUUUCUAAUAAAUAAUUCAUUUUAUAACAAAAUAAUCAUCAUGAUCCUGAUAUAAAUCUACUAUUAUACAUAUUAGUUGCCUUUCUGGUUUUGAUAAAACAGCUGAAAGAAGCAACUUAAGGAAGAAAGUCUAGUGGAGGUUGGGUGUGGGGGGUUCAAGGAGAGAUGGAGAUGCACACACAGAGAGAAAGAAAUGGAAAGAGAGAGAUAGAGAGAGACAAAGAUGGAGAGAGACUGGGAUGAGAAUAGAGAUAGAGAGAUAGAGAUUGAGAGAGGCAGACACAAAGAGAGGCAGAGACCAUGAGAGUUUAGAAAGCAGGGCCUGACUGGUCCCUAACUCAUAUCUCCUCAGAACAACCCAUCUUCUCCAGACAGGCCUCACAUCCUAAAGUUUUCAGAUCCUUCCAGAACAGUGACAUCAGCUAGUGAUCAGGUGAGCUUGGAUGCUACAUUUCACACUUAAAUAAUGACAUCACCUAACUUCUUUCCAACACUCAAGAGCUCCACCAUCGUCAGUGGCUAGAAUAAUGGUCAGCACACAUUAAGGACUAAUCAAAUAUCCUUUUGAAGAUGUACAUGUUUGUAGAAUUUUUGUUAAAUUAUUCUUGACAGAAUUUGGUUGGUAGACAGGAAUUUGGGCUGAUCACUUUAGGAGAGAAGACCAAAAGGAUGAAAUUCACUUAGUUUUAAUUUUACUUUAUUAUUUUAAAUAAAAAAUUAUUGUGUUGCUCGUUGUACAUGAUACUGUGUUUUCACACAUGCAUUCACUGUACAUUGCACUUAUUGCUCACAGACUCUCCAACUCUGCCCUUUCCCUCUUCUUCCCAUGAAUCCUCCAUCUUGAAAAUUUCACAUCUACUUUCACAUCUUAUAUACAUACUUGAUUAUAUAUAUCUAUUAAAAUCUAGAAACCAUAAUUGAGAAAACAUGUGUUUUAUGAGACUGGCUGAAUUCACCUAAUAUGAUUGAUUGUCCUAGGUUAUAUACAUUUUCCUGCAAUGACAUAACUUUGUCUUCCUCAUGACUGAAAUUGAAUUGUACCACAAUUAUCCAUCCCUCUCCUCUGUUAAUGGACAUAUAGGACGGUUCCAUAGUUCAGUUGUUGUGAUGAGUGCUGAGGUAAACAUUGAUAUGCAGAUGUCUCGGUAAUACCUUGACUUGGAAUGUUCAAGGUAAACCCCUAAAACUGGCCCACCCAGCCAUUUGCAAAUCCCAGACUAGUUUGUCUUCUCACCAACAGUGUAUAAAGGUUUCCCAUUGGUCAUAUCUUUACCAACAUUUGCUCUUUUAAUGACUAAGGUUCCAUCUGGGGUGAGAUGUAAUUUUAAUUUUCAUUUCUCUGAUGGCUAGUGAGGCUAAACAGUUUUUUAUGUUUACUGGUCAUUUGUAAUUCAUUUUAAAAGAACUAAAUGUUUAUUACGUGAGUUGUUUAAUUUCUUGCUAUUUAGUUUAAUUAUUUGUGUUUUCUGGAUAUUAAUCCUCUGUCAGACAAAUAAUAAUCUGAAAUUGUAUCCCAUCUUGUAAUCUGUCUCUUCGCUGAAUUAGUUAAAUGGAAGCCUUUUAAUUUCAUGAAGUUCUAUUUGUCAAUUGCUGGUAUUAUGAAAUUCUUUUCUUGCAUCAUCGGUGGAUUAAUACUUUGUGAUGAUUGUUAUUAGCACUAUUAUUUGUUUAAAUGUACUGCAUUUGCUAAGUAUAUCCUAUUUUUGGAAAUACUUUUAAAUAAAUCAUAUGUAAUUUCACAGUCCUCUUGUGAGACAAAAGUUAUUCUUUUCUUUAUUUUUUGUUACAAUCAAGAUUUGGGGAGGAAAAUAAUAAAAGUUAGUGCUGAGAUUUUGAGUUAUGCCAACAAACAGCAAUCACAUUUUCUGGAAUCGUUAUCUCAAAAAAAUAGAGGCUUACUCUGUGUAAUGUUACUUGUACGUAUGUUUCCAGGGCUGACCAUUUGGUGUUGGCUAACCAGUUGGUGUGCUCCUCCCUGGGAAAGACUGUUCCUCCUGCUCUCAGCAUUCCUUAGUUGCCUGUAGUUCAGGGUUGAAGCAUCCUAAGCUCCCCCCUGUGUCCUUUCCCAAGUCUAUUGGUGUCAUCUUUGUCCAGCUAGUGUUUGGGUAGUCAUAUUGUGAAUACAUCAUGGGUUUAGAGUCUAACAUUAUUAGGACACACGAUAUCAGAGCAAACUCCCUGAUCUUUGGCUCUUACAAUCUUUCCACCCUCUUUUUUGCUAUGUUCUCUAAGCUUUAGGUAUGGAAGUAUUUCAUCGCUAUAUGCAUAUGCAUAUAUAUAUGCAAUAAUAAUUAAUGAAAAAAGAGGCCAAGAAUUUGAAAGAGAGCAAGAGAGGUAAAUGGGAAACAUUGAAGGGAGGAAAAAGAGGAGAGAAAUGUGGCAAUAUAUUAUCUCAAAAAUAAAUUAAAAAUGUAAAGAAAAAGAGGCUUAGAUGAAUACUGAGUGAGUUAUUCAAGACAAUGUGUGAUUAUUAUCAUAUGAAAAAUGAAGAUGUUCUCAUUCUCAUUGGAUACUGCAUUGGAAAUGACACAGCUAAAAUGAAAGAUGAUUACAUAUAUAAUUUAAUUUAACAAUCCAAUUUAUUGGUGUGGGAUUAUCACACAGAAAUUGUACCUAUUAUUUAAUCUAUGCACUUGAGUUUGUAGGUAAGUAUGCGCCCAUGAAAUCUUUAUAUACCAUAAACAUAGCUGUUACUUCUGAAACUUCCCCCAUUUUCUUGUUCAUUAUAGCCAAUGUUUGUUACAGGAAAACUUAGCAUAAACUCCACCCUCUUAAAGUACUAUGACUAGCCUGAGAAAGAGGAAGAUUGACAGGUGUUAGUUAAAGGACACUAAGCUUCAGGUAUACCAGAUAGCAAGUCUUAGAGAUCUACCACCCAGAAGUUUACUAACACUAAAUCAUAUACUUUUUUCAAAAAGUAGAUUUUUAUGUUAAAUCUGUAAGAAUAUAAAGGCAGCAAUCUGCCUAGAGCUCUAUGGAGAAGCACGAUGUAUUCCAAGGAUUCCUAGGAGACCAGUAUGGGCACUGACACACUCGUAUUACUUUGAGAAUCCCUGAAAUCCACCUACUAUUCUCAUGUCCCACUGCUGUCCGACUUGCUGGUUAGUUACAAGCCCUGCUCAGGUUUUCUAGCUAGAUGAUGGUGCCCCGGACAGCUUAAAGUGUAUGUUCAUCAUGGAUUUAUUGACAUAUUGAUGCAGUAAUUGUCUUCUUAUCUCCACAGGUAUGUAUCCUUAGCUACAAAGGCUUUACAGUAUGUUGGCACAAUGUCAAAGAGAUCCUUCUGUUGUCUGUCACCAAGAAGAGGAAAACUCAAGUUAAACUCUCUGGGUGCUCAAUAAAGAUUAAUCUACAAUCUACUGCCUAUUAGUUUCUAUAAACUGAAUAAAGCUGGGAUUUCUCCUCCUUUAACUAUCACACCUACUAAUGUUUUUCAAGAUCUCUUUCUCCUUGUCAUUUUGCCUGAGUUGCUUUUUUAAGCACACAUCUGAUGAUGCAAUUUAGGGAAUUGGAUACAGUUACAAAUAAAGCCUAGAAUCAAGAUCCAGUUUCUUUUGUUUGAGAGGUGGGUUAGAAUCUCCCACUACUUCCCAGGUUAGCCUGGAGUUCACUUAGAGAAGGACGACUAUGGACUCCUGAUCCUCCAUGCCUCCAUCUCCCAACUUCCCAUCUUCCCAACUUUACAAGUGUGUUCCACCACACUCAAGAAAGCACCUGGUCUUCCCCAUUAAAUAUGAUGUUAGUUGUGUCUCUUUCUUUCUACAGAGCAUUGAACCUUUGGCCUUGCUCUAACCUUUCCCUUGAUAAUUCUCUUACAAGUCCAAAUAAGGAAGGAUUUUUUUUUCUACAGCUGGCAGAUUCAAGAGUACAACAACUUAGAAAAAAAAUCAAUCAUCAAACAAUGACCAGUUUGUUGUUGUUUUUAAAACUUUUUAAUCACUAAUUCAA